rnacentral:antisense_RNA from 2 species
AUAGAGCAAUCGUUCUAUGCGGUUCUCUUGGGCCCCGGUAAUCUUGUCCUGUCGCCAAACUAGAAAGUUUAUCGGGGCUUUUUCUU